GGGCGUAUGGUCUAGAGGUAUGAUACCUGCUUUGGGUCAUCAGGACUGAGAAAUCUAUUGCAGGGGGUCUUUGGUUCGAAUCCGGAUUCGCCCC